AUAUGCCAGGCACUGUACAUAUUAACUCAUUAAAUCCUCAUAACAAUUCUGCGGGGUAGGUGCUAUGAUUAUCUUAGGUUAUACAUGUUGCAGCUGAGGCACAGAGAGGUUAAGUAACUGAUUUAAACUCACACAGCUAGAAAGUGAUGGAGCUGGAGUCUGGCUCCAGAGUCUGUGCCCUUAAGUACCAUAAUAUGCUGCCUCUUGAUAUACAUGGAGAUGGUAAUAGAGCCUCCUGGGAGGGUUGCUCUGACAUCACAUCGUGCGCUACCACUGAGCAACGAUCCACGUCAGCCACACAGAUAAAGACGAAGGAGGGAGAGAUGGCCUUCAGAGGCUGUGCAGGAAGGGUAUUCUUUGAGCUUUCCUUGCAGAGAAUGGACAGGAUUUGAAUUUGGUCUAGGGGUACCUGGAAGGAGGUGGCCUUGAGGAAUUUCCAGGGACUGGGCGAACAGGAAUGCAGAGCCCAGAUUUGGGGUAAGGGAUUACUAGGGAGAGAGUGGGAAGGUGGGUUAGGGCUGACCGUGGAGAUGGGUAGGCUAUGAAGGAAUCCUCAGUGGGGUUUGUGUGAAGGUUUGCCAAGAUGGAGGCACUGUGUUAUGGGGGUCCACCUGUUGAUGCCACGCACUGGGCGGAUUAGAGCCGGGAGAAAAAAGAAGACAAAAGAAGUGUUGAAGGCACAGUUGGGAAGACAGAAAACGCAGUCGUCAUUUCAGCAGAGAAAUUUUAAUGUAUGGAAUUGCUUCAUCAAGUGUUGGAGAACUGAGGAAGCAAGAAGGCAGCAUUGAGAUGACACAGAGUGGCAGGCAGAGGUUGGGGGUGUCAGAAGCUUGAAGAGACCCAGGGAGCUGGGAUCCGGACCCCUGAGGAAGGGGCCCCGCCCGGCUGGUCCCGGCACCUCAGGAGUCCAGUCACCUGCCGCGUGACCCCAGCACAUGCCACAGAGCACCAGGACCCAUUUCCCACUGGGAGGAGCCCAGCCCUGUGUUCAGGGCAAGACACACCAGACCAGUUCCAAACCAUCCUGGAGGGUCCAUGUUUUAAGACCACUCCUGGUACCAAGGACUACAUAAGUCAGGGGCCAGGCAAAAACCAGCAACUCUACUCGGCAUUUCAACAGUGAGGAUUUCAGUAGGAUGUGAAUGACACCGGUGCUAGAGGACUGGAAGAGGAAAAGGGGGAGACUGAGGCAGCACGGGUAGUAACUGCAGGAAGGAGCACCACCUCUCGGGCUGGGGAAGCAGAGGGAAGCAUGUGGGGCUCUCAGCCCAGAAGCAGGGAGGAGGGGCCUUGGGAGCCAAGGUGUGGAUCUCUGAGAAGAGGUCACUGCCCGCUGGCGCUGUUUCCUCUGGGGGCAACAAUAAGCUGGUCUGGGGGUAGGGAAACACACACACACACACACACACACCCCAAGACAGGAAGCAGUUAGUGCUGCUGGGGUGCAGGCCAUUGCUAGGGUAGUACUAAGAAAAAGGAGAAGCAGGCGGGAAGAGCAGUGUCCUCUCCCCCGACUCCAGCCUUCCCUUCUUCUUCCAGAACUCCCAUUGGCAGAGCCUAACAGGAAGCUCCUAGCAAGGGAGAAAUGUGUCUGCAGAGGCCCCUCCCUUGCACACUGUGGAAGGAUGGGCUUGGGGCUGAGAUAGAAACCCAGCAGUGAGGCUGAGCUAACUGGGGCGGGGUCAGCAGGGAGGGCCAAGCAGAGGUGGGCUGAGACUCAGCCAAGGAUGUGAGGAAUGCAAGGGAGGCUGCCUGAAGACGGGAGGAAGGAGGAAGAGCAGUCAGAGGUGACCCGUUGAAUCUGGGGACGAUGAAAACACACGGUGGCAUCACAAACAGAAAGCUUGGGUGAUGGGGGCAGCCCACUCAGGACCGGGGCAUGACGGAGCUUGGCUGUAGACAGACUGAGGUUGGAGGAAGGUCCUUCAUUCUAGUGGCAACGCACACGGGUUUUUGGAUAUACAGACAAAGCUUGGGAGGGAGAUCCUGCCUUCUGUCAAGGUGACGAGAGUCAGUGGGACGGAGUGGACUGGGAGCAGAGCGCCACCGAUGACAGGCCCAUGGGAAUGCCCACACUCGGGGGGCAGAGGGGCAGGCAGAUGGCAGGAGAACCAGGCCAGGGCAGGGUCACUGAGGCCACGGGGACAGGACUCGGGAAGGAAGGGGUCACUUCAGGCUGACUCACAUCCUUCAGAGACGUCAAGGAGGAUGAGAACCAAGAAAAGGCCAUCAGCCUUGGCAACUGUGAGGUCACAGGUGAUCUCGCAUCGUGCCCUUGCAGACGUCAUCCUCUCUGUCCUGCAGCGCCCUGCCUGCUGUCGCCCCCAGGCCCAGCCCUUGCCCCUAGGGAAGCCUCCCUCCCCAAUGAAUCCUCUCAUUCAUUUCUUUUCUCGAUGCUCCCCAGACGCCUUGCUUCUCAGUUUGUGCUAUUUGAAUUUGCACUUGUCAUCCUGUUGCUCUGCAAAUGUGUUUAUCAGUUAUUUCACCUCCCUGUGCUUCUGAGCCCUCAUAGCCAACACAGGCGGUUUCCUGUAAGUGUUAGUGACUCUGACUGACAGUCAGAGGAAAGAUUUAUGAAAUUAACCAGAACAAAUCUGUGGGGAAUCUCAUAAGCAGGAGGAGCCGACUUCCAGCUGAAUUCAGGAGCAGAGCUGAAGUCGGGAGGGCGGGCACAGUCAGGGCCUUAGGAAGGAAAGCGAUGCGCUCUGUUUGCUCCGAGAUGGGUGGGUACCCCAUGACAGUCUAGGCUGUGGUUGCCCCAGAUGUCAUGGAAGGCUGUGAGGAGGGCCUGGAGGGACAGCAUUAAAAAUGGGUCAGAACUCACUUCUGUAAUCCCAGCACUUUGGCAGGCAGAGGCAGGCAGAUCACCUGAGGUCAAGAGUUUGUGAUCAGGCUGGCCAACAUGGUGAAACCCCGUCUCUACUAAAAAUACAAACAUUAGCUGGGCAUGGUGGCGUGCACCUGUAGUCCCAGCUACUCGGGAGGCUAAGGCAGGAGAAUCACUUGAACCCGGGAGGCGGAGGUUGCAGCGAGCCUAGAUCGCACCACUGUACUUCAGCCUGCGUGACAGAGACUCCAUCUCAAAACAAGAAAAGUGUCAGAAGUGGUCCCUGAGCUCUAGGAGAGGAGCAGGGCCUGGGAAGAGCGUGAGGUUGGAAUCCUGGGCGAGUUACCCUGCCUCUCUGAGCCUCAGUCUCUUCAUCUGUCAGGUGAGGUUAGUGAUACCUUGGCGGGGAAGGAAUGAAUGGGAUUGUGUGAACAGGUCCAUGAGUGGGGCUCAGCACAUACUGGUUCCCUUCUAAGGAGUGAUGACAAAUAGAAAAGCAGGACCUGAAUAGCUCACUCAAACCUGGAGGAGUUCACAUAAAAUGAAAUGCCACAAGCGUUGAAAUAAUUGUCUUACAAGAGAAAAUUAUAGGUGGGAAAAGUCAAAACUGAAAAGUGAACAGUGGCAGACUGCUGAGAAGUCGAGGAAAGGAGUGUUGAAGCCGACUGUAAAAUGGGAAGCAAAGGUGAAGAGAUGGUACCAAGUGAUGUGAGUUGGAAGCCGCGGAGUGCGGUGCUGAUUUUGCUAAGGAUCCAGAGGAUGAGAAGCAGAAAGCACGUGUUCUGCCAGGACCUGGACGGUGGAGUGCAAGUCCACAUAAGACUCAGGAGAAAAAGAGGCUGCAAAUGGAAACAAUCAGCAUCAAAGGAGGCUCAGCAGAGCCAUGAGAGGGAAAAUGGGGAGGGCAAAGGGAAUUAAAGAUGGGCAGGGAGAGCUUCCAGCACCCGUGAUGGGCACGGGAGGAGCGCUCGAUUAAAUGGCUCCCAGCAGUCUUGUGAAAGGCUCAGGUCUCAGACUGAAAACUGCGACAUAAACCUUUAGUUCUGAGGGACCAGUUUCUGGGGCUGUUGACCAGCAGAGGAGAGGGAGAUAAAGCCAGUAGGUGAGAGAUGAGCUUGGAGGAGGUGACUGCUAUUGCAGAUAGAAUUGGUGGAGAGGCCCCUGAGAGGAUGAAUCCUUGGGUCACAGAGAGGUAUUCUGUGAUGGAGAUGGAGCAUAGCAUUUGGAAAGAGAUUUCAGAAUGAUGAACAUAGCCUCAGACUUCUUGCUUCCCACAAAUGCAGAGACCCUUCCACCCCUGACCCCCCACACAAAAAAGUAUUCAGGUGGAAGCUGUCAACCCAGGUUGGGUCAGUUGGACAGGUGAGUCUGCCUGUCAGUGCCAGUCACACUUCUUUACCUUCAAGACUUCAAAGUAAACUCCAGUUUGGAAGUGACAGCUUUUCCCCAUAGGGCGUGUUUCAGUGGAAGAGCGUCAGUUCCGUUUCCAGGGCCCCAAAGCCCUCUGUAAGCUCUGUUACCUUCUGGGUCAGUUCCUGUGGAUAAAAGGCUUAGCCGUGCAGAAAUGUGCUCUGGCUGUUGUGAGGUUUGCAGAUCAGUCUCAUGGACCUGUGCCCUGCCCGCGGCCUCAGAACAAGUUCCCGUGAGAGGAGACCCAGCAGUGGGCAAGACCGCCCUGGCACAGAUCUUCCGCAGUGAUGGAGCCCAUUUCCAGAAAAGCUACACCCUGACAACAGGAAUGGAUUUGGUGGUGAAGACAGUGCCAGUUCCUGACACGGGAGACAGUGUGGAACUCUUCAUUUUUGACUCUGCUGGCAAGGAGCUGUUUUCGGAAAUGCUGGAUAAAUUGUGGGAGAGUCCCAAUGUCUUAUGUCUCGUCUAUGAUGUGACCAAUGAAGAAUCCUUCAACAACUGCAGCAAGUGGCUGGAGAAGGCUCGGUCACAGGCUCCAGGCAUCUCUCUCCCAGGUGUUUUAGUUGGGAACAAGACAGACCUGGCCGGCAGACGAGCAGUGGACUCAGCUGAGGCCCGGGCAUGGGCGCUGGGCCAGGGCCUGGAAUGUUUUGAAACAUCCGUGUGACCAUCCUGCCGACCCAAAGGAGGUCCCUACAAACAAGUGCAAGAACAAUCCGCGCUGAUCACUGCCCUCCCAGAAAGAGAUGGAAAACUUCGAAGCCCCUUUCCACUGCCUUGCCAAGCAGUUCCACCAGCUGUACCGGGAGAAGGUGGAGGUUUUCCGGGCCCUGGCGUGACGAGCUGGAGCAGAUCGUGCUGCACAACCGGAGAAGACAGAAUUACCUCUGCUCUUUUAAUAUAUAAUGAUGGCUUUAAAUAAAAUUAGGAGAAAAUGUCGAA